GACAGAGGGUGCAAACGUUGUUCGGAAUCAUUGGGCGUAAAGCGCGUGUAGGCGGUCCGGUAAGUCCGCUGUGAAAGUCGGGGGCUCAACCCUCGGAUGCCGGUGGAUACUGUCGGGCUUGAGUACGGAAGAGGCGAGUGGAAUUCCUGGUGUAGCGGUGAAAUGCGCAGAUAUCAGGAGGAACACCAAUUGCGAAGGCAGCUCGCUGGGACGUUACUGACGCUGAGACGCGAAAGCGUGGGGAGCAAACAGG
rnacentral:rRNA from 1 species